AUGACACGUGCCCAGACGGUGCAAUUCCACGCCUCUCUUUUUUUGACCAAGACGCCGGCCAUUCCUUGUCGUGACAGUGACAAGCUAGGCUAUAGGGGGAAUCUUGGCAGCUUGAUGAUUAGCCGCUGCCAUGGUCCGGACGGCGGAGAUAUUUUUGAGAAAGAGCCAAACCGGUUCUUCUUUUCGCGUCAAAGGAAAGAAUCAGAGGUUGCCACACACACACACACAAAAAUAGAGAGGAAAAGAGUCGGUUCUCCUUCACGUCCAUGGCAACUAUCGCCUUGUCUGAUUUCUGAUCCUGUCUUGGAACAGAUUACGAUGCGCACUAUGGACGUGCGCGCGAAUUGGCUGCUCUACCUCUACGAGAUCAUCUGUGUCGUCAGGCUGGGCUCAAAAGCGAAGGAAACCCUGGUGAUGCUCGCCACGCAAGCGAUCGACACGCCGCGCAUCUGCAGCGGCCUCGCCGUUGGUGUAAACGACGGGCCGCUCCUUCCCGUCGUCCCGUGCAGUCAUGUCUCCCAACCAAUCCAUGACGACGACGACGACAGACACCUUGACAGGACGGGGCGCCACCUCCUCCCCCGUCGUCUCACAGUAGACUCACAGCCACCACCAACGGGGUCCCGGCCCCCGGUUUCGCGGGCACCAGCCGAGCGCGACGCGACCCACAGAUCCCAGACCCCGCCGCGCGGGAGGCCUCCACGUCGCGCCCUGACCGCGACGCGGCAGCUAGGCAGAGGGCGUACGGAGCACCUAGCUACUAGUGCUAGCGCCCGGCAAAACGCGACAGAGAGAGCCCUGGUAGCCGCUGCGGGUCGCCCGGCCCGGCCUCGCUCACGGUCACGAUCAUGGCCACGUCGGUUCGGACGCGUACGGCCGAUUUUUCCACCGCUUGAUUCGUCUUGUAAAAAGGUCGUCGCGGCGCCGCCGAUGCUUUGCUGCGUGUGA
rnacentral:rRNA from 1 species